CCUACGGGUGGCAGCAGUGAGGAAUAUUGGUCAAUGGGCGCGAGCCUGAACCAGCCAAGUAGCGUGAAGGAUGACUGUCCUACGGGUGUUAAACUUCGUUUUUAAAGGAAUAAAGUGAGGCACGUGUGCCUUUUUGUAUGUACUUUAUGAAUAAGGAUAGGCUAACUCCGUGCCAGCAGCCGCGGUAAUACGGAGGGUCCGAGCGUUAUCCGGAUUUAUUGGGUUUGAAGGGAGCGUAGAUGGGUUGUUAAGUCAGUUGUGAAAGUCUGCGGCUCAACCGUAAAAUUGCAAUUGAUACUGGCAGUCUUGAGUACAGUAGAGGUAGGCGGAAUUCGUGGUGUAGCGGUGAAAUGCUUAGAUAUCACGAAGAACUCCGAUGGCGAAGGCAGCUUACUAAACUGCCACUGACAUUGAUGCUCGAAAGUGUGGGUAUCAAACAGGAUUAGAUACCCGGGUAGUC
rnacentral:rRNA from 1 species